CCUACGGGAGGCAGCAGUGGGGAAUAUUGCACAAUGGACGAAAGCCUGAUGCAGCAACGCCGCGUGAACGAUGAAGGCCUUCGGGUUUGAAAGCUCUUUCCACAAGGAAGUAAAUUACUGUACUUGUGGCAGAAGCCCCGGCAAACUCCGUGCCAGCACCCGCAGUAAUCCGUAGGCGGCUGGCGUAAUCCGGAAUUACUGGGCGUAAAGGGUACGUAGGGGGUUUCUUAAGUGAGAGGGAAAAGGCUAAGGCUAAACCGUAGUAAGCAUUUGAAACUGGGGAACUUGAGUGCAGGAGAGGAGAGUGGAAUUCCUGGUGUAGCGGUGAAAUGCGUAGAUAUCAGGAGGAACACCAGUUGCGAAGGCGGCUCUCUGGACUGUAACUGACACUGAGGCACGAAAGCGUGGGGAGCAAACAGGAUUAGAUACCCCGGUAGUC
rnacentral:rRNA from 1 species